GGUUUUGAGUAACGAUGGUGUUACUAACAUCCUUGUCUUGGACUCGAGAAAAGGUGAUGUUACUAAAACCCUCUUCUUGGAUUUGAGUAAAUGCGAUGUUACUAAAACUAUACCGCUGACCCUGUCUCACAGCUGCAAGGCACAGUUAAAAUGCCACGGGUUCAAGCAGGGUGACAAGGGUAGUUGGUGUCCUGCUGCUGCAACAAUUGUUAAAAUAGGCUGUUUAAAAUAGGAACUAAUUUGAAAAUAGCUUGAAAUAAUAGAAUUUAAAAUUCAUUCCAGCAACUCUGGAUAUUGUUGAGCGGUGGUGGAGGCGCUUGGUGAACAAAAGUUUCUGUAAAAAACUCAAGACAUAACAAUUUAAGUAACCUAGUGUUAAUGCAUUUUUUCCUCUCAAAUAUUCCCAACAGCUGCCGUGUUCCCAAUGCUUGGGCCCUCAGCUCAUUAGGUACACGUGUAAGUUGCAUUGAAGGAGCCGUGCUCUGCGCACCCGUGGAGCCGUGUGGUUUGUACAGUGCAGAGCCAUGUUCCUGUGGGUCUGUACAGACGAGCCAGGGGUCUGUCCUGAGGUAGUAUUAAAAUACAGGUCAGCUUUAAUAAACUAAGGGCUGCGGUGGAGGCAGUGUAUCUUUCAAGCAAAGGGUAGAUUUUACUUUAUUUUCUACUUUAAUUAUGACCUAAACAAAAUCAGGGAGAUCAGCAAGUAUCUAGUAGGCAACCGUCAAUACUCUGGAUCAUGGUGGAUGUGUAAGAGGUCUGGUCAGGUGCCUGAUGAGAAAUCUGCUUGAAAACCGCU